AUUGAACGCUGGCGGCAGGCCUAACACAUGCAAGUCGAGCGGUAGAGAGGUGCUUGCAUCUCUUGAGAGCGGCGGACGGGUGAGUAAUGCCUAGGAAUCUGCCUAGUGGUGGGGGAUAACGUUCGGAAACGGACGCUAAUACCGCAUACGUCCUACGGGAGAAAGCGGGGGAUCUUCGGACCUCGCGCCAUUAGAUGAGCCUAGGUCGGAUUAGCUAGUUGGUGAGGUAAUGGCUCACCAAGGCGACGAUCCGUAACUGGUCUGAGAGGAUGAUCAGUCACACUGGAACUGAGACACGGUCCAGACUCCUACGGGAGGCAGCAGUGGGGAAUAUUGGACAAUGGGCGAAAGACCUGAUCCAGCCAUGCCGCGUGUGUGAAGAAGGUCUUCGGAUUGUAAAG
rnacentral:rRNA from 1 species